rnacentral:rRNA from 1 species
AGUUCAGAUCGCAGUCUGCAACCCGACUGCGUGAAGUCGGAAUCGCUAGUAAUCGCGGAUCAGCAUGCCGCGGUGAAUACGUUCCCGGGCCUUGUACACACCGCCCGUCACACCAUGAGAGUCGGGAACACCCGAAGUCCGUAGCCUAACCGCAAGGGGGGCGCGGCCGAAGGUGGGUUCGAUAAUUGGGGUGAAGUCGUAACAAGGUAUC